rnacentral:tRNA from 1 species
GAGGUUGUGGCUCAGUGGUAGAGUGCUCACCUAGUAUACACGAGGCACUGCGUUCAAUCCUCAGCACCACA